UACGUAGGGGGCAAGCGUUGUCCGGAAUUACUGGGCGUAAAGGGCUUGUAGGUGGUUUGUCGCGUUGUUCGUGAAAACUCACAGCUUAACUGUGGGCGUGCGGGCGAUACGGGCAGACUGGAGUACUGCAGGGGAGACUGGAAUUCCUGGUGUAGCGGUGGAAUGCGCAGAUAUCAGGAGGAACACCGGUGGCGAAGGCGGGUCUCUGGGCAGUAACUGACGCUGAGGAGCGAAAGCGUGGGGAGCGAACAGG
rnacentral:rRNA from 1 species